rnacentral:rRNA from 1 species
ACUCCUACGGGAGGCAUCAGUGGGGAAUUUUGGACAAUGGGCGAAAGCCUGAUCCAGCAAUGCCGCGUGUGUGAAGAAGGCCUUCGGGUUGUAAAGCACUUUUGUCCGGAAAGAAAUCCUUGGCUCUAAUACAGUCGGGGGAUGACGGUACCGGAAGAAUAAGCACCGGCUAACUACGUGCCAGCAGCCGCGGUAAUACGUAGGGUGCGAGCGUUAAUCGGAAUUACUGGGCGUAAAGCGUGCGCAGGCGGUUUGCUAAGACCGAUGUGAAAUCCCCGGGCUCAACCUGGGAACUGCAUUGGUGACUGGCAGGCUAGAGUAUGGCAGAGGGGGGUAGAAUUCCACGUGUAGCAGUGAAAUGCGUAGAGAUGUGGAGGAAUACCGAUGGCGAAGGCAGCCCCCUGGGCCAAUACUGACGCUCAUGCACGAAAGCGUGGGGAGCAAACAGGAUUAGAUACCCCAGUAGUCCCAUG